AGUAGCAUUAGUAUCAGUUCAUACUUAGAUCAAUGGACAGGCUAAUUUUAAUUCACUUCGGACUGAUUUUAGUUUUUACAGUGUUUUCAGAGACAAUUAACGCAACAAUAAAUUGUAAUUUUGAGAAUGGUUGGUGCGAUUGGGGUUAUAAAGAAAACAGUUGUUUCAAUUGGACGAUUGGUAACGGAAAAUCAGUGGACAAAACUUCUGGUCCGAUAGCAGAUCAUUCUACUGGGUCCUCCAAUGGUUCUUAUGUUGUAAUCUAUGGUCGCCGUUCUCGAAAUUCAUCCUGU